AAUGUGUGUGUGUGUGUGUGUGUGUGUAUGUGUAUGUGUGUGCGUGUGCAGCUGCCACAGAUUACAAUCAGGAUUUGGAACGUUGUUUUUCUGAGUUUAGUGCACUCCACUCGAUGGUUACAUUCCUCUUUUUUUUUUUUUUUAACUUUUUUUUUAUUCAGCGUUUGCAUCAAGGAUGCACACCUCGGUUCUUCCAAGAUCACUGUUGUCUCUCUAGGUCUUGUCUUUCCUCGUUUUCCUAAUUUGAGUAGUAACUGUUCCAACGCUCAAAGCGGUUUCACAAGCAGGUCAGAACUUUUUAGAACCGAUAAUGCACUGUCUCUAAAUAUAUCAAGGUGUCUGGAAAUGAAGGCAUGUCGUUUUAAAAACAGCAGAGGAGGGUUUCCUCUUACCUGUACUGCUUUCUUUUUUAUGGUGACAUUUCUCUGGGUUCAUUUUUUUCAUUGAAAUGGUUAAAUAAAGAUUCAUGUGAAUUGA